rnacentral:rRNA from 1 species
UAUAGAGGUCUCAAGCGUUGUUCGGAUUCAUUGGGCGUCAAGGGUGCGUAGGUGGCGCUGUAAGUCGGGUGUGAAAUUUCGGAGCUUAACUCCGAAACUGCAUUCGAUACUGCGGUGCUUGAGGACUGGAGAGGAGACUGGAAUUCAUGGUGUAGCAGUGAAAUGCGUAGAGAUCAUGAGGAAGACCAGUGGCGAAGGCGGGUCUCUGGACAGUUCCUGACACUGAGGCACGAAGGCCAGGGGAGCAAACGGG